rnacentral:tRNA from 1 species
UAGCCAAGAGGUAAAGGCUAUGGAUCGCCAAUCCAGAGACGGCGGGUUCGAUUCCCGU